rnacentral:rRNA from 1 species
UACAGAGGGUGCGAGCGUUAUUCGGAAUUACUGGGCGUAAAGCGCGCGUAGGCGGCUUUGCAAGUCGGGCGUGAAAUCCCCAGGCUUAACCUGGGAACUGCAUUCGAGACUGCAUUGCUAGAGUAUGGGAGAGGGAAGUGGAAUUUCCGGUGUAGCGGUGAAAUGCGUAGAUAUCGGAAGGAACAUCAGUGGCGAAAGCGGCUUCCUGGACCAGUACCGACGUUCAGGCACGAAAGCGUGGGGAGCAAACAGG